ACUACGGGUGGCAGCAGUGAGGAAUAUUGGUCAAUGGCCGUAAGGCUGAACCAGCCAAGUCGCGUGAAGGAAGAAGGAUCUAUGGUUUGUAAACUUCUUUUAUAGGGGAAUGAAGGUAUCCACGUGUGGAUAUUUGCAUGUACCCUAUGACUAAGCAUCGGCUAACUCCGUGCCAGCAGCCGCGGUAAUACGGAGGAUGCGAGCGUUAUCCGGAUUUCUUGGGUUUAAAAGGUGCGUAGGUUGUUUUUUAAGUCAGCGGUGAAAGUUGGUGGCUCAACCAUCAAAUUGCCGUUGAUACUGGAAGACUUGAGUGUGUUUGAGGUAGGCGGAAUGCGUGGUGUAGCGGUGAAAUGCAUAGAUAUCACGCAGAACUCGGAUUGCGAAGGCAGAUUACUAAGCCAUAACUGACACUGAAGCAAGAAAGCGUGGGGAUCAAACAGGAUUAGAUACCCCUGUAGUC
rnacentral:rRNA from 1 species